rnacentral:rRNA from 1 species
AACGAACGCUGGCGGCAGGCUUAACACAUGCAAGUCGAACGCCCCGCAAGGGGAGUGGCAGACGGGUGAGUAGCGCGUGGGAACAUACCCUUUUCUACGGAAUAGCUCUGGGAAACUGGAAUUAAUACCGUAUACGCCCUACGGGGGAAAGAUUUAUCGGGGAAGGAUUGGCCCGCGUUGGAUUAGCUAGUUGGUGGGGUAAAGGCCUACCAAGGCGACGAUCCAUAGCUGGUCUGAGAGGAUGAUCAGCCACAUUGGGACUGAGACACGGCCCAAACUUCUACGGGAGGCAGCAGUGGGGAAUAUUGGACAAUGGGCGCAAGCCUGAUCCAGCCAUGCCGCGUGAGUGAUGAAGGCCUUAGGGUUGUAAAGCUCUUUCACCGAUGAAGAUAAUGACGGUAGUCGGAGAAGAAGCCCCGGCUAACUUCGUGCCAGCCGCCGCCGUAAUAC